CGGCGCCCACGCAACAGCCACAAGGUCAUCGCCUCGUCACCGGCGAUGGAGCGUCAGCUCUUCCUGCUGAACCAGCACGCGGUCGUGGUCACCGCGGUGGGCACCAAGGCGCAUGCGGCGAGCCCGCUCUCCCUCGGCCGCGCGAUCGAGCGCGAGCUCAAGAUCCCCCCACACCUGCUCCACAUCACCAGCCACGACCCUGAAGACUUCUUCGUCUACUUCACCAUGCCGGCGCACAAGGACCUGGCGGUGCGGCGCGGCUCGCUGUCGGUGGACGGCGUGCCGUUCCUGCUCGAGCCAUGGCGGGAGGACACCCACGCCGUCCGGCUCAAGUGGAUGCUGCAUGCUCGUGUCGUCAUCGAGCGGCUCCCCAUGCAGCUAUGGACGAUCGAGGGCGCGAUCGAGGCCAUUGGUGACAAGGUCAUCGUCGACCGCCUCGACAGCCGGACCCACGAGCGCGUCGACACCAAGCUGUUCGCUUGCUGGGUCUGGUGC
rnacentral:rRNA from 1 species